rnacentral:tRNA from 4 species
GACAAAGUGGCCGAGUGGUUAAGGCGUAACACUUGAAAUGUUAUGGGUUCGCCCUCGCAAGUUCGAAUCUUGUCUUUGUCG